rnacentral:rRNA from 1 species
GUUAGGAAUAUUGGACAAUGGGCGAAAGCCUGAUCCAGCCAUGCCGCGUGAACGAUGAUGGCCUUCGGGUUGUAAAGUUCUUUAGCCGAUGAUUAUAAUGACUGUAGUCGGAAAAUAAGCCCCGGCUAACUUCGUGCCAGCAGCCGCGGUAAUACGAAGGGGGCGAGCGUUAUUCGGAAUCACUGGGCGUAAAGCGUGCGUAGGCGGUUUUGUAAGUUAGGAGUGAAAGCCCAGGGCUCAACCUUGGAAUUGCUCUUAAAACUGCAAGGCUCGAAUCUCGGAGAGGAUAGCGGAAUUUCCAGUGUAGCAGUGAAAUGCGUAGAUAUUGGAAGGAACACCAGUGGCGUAAGCGGCUAUCUGGACGAGUAUUGACGCUGAGGCACGAAAGCGUGGGGAUCAAACAGGAUUAGAAACCCCGGUAGUCC